rnacentral:ncRNA from 1 species
UUAAAGAUACUUGCGUUCAGUCACAGGUCGAGCGUUGAAGCGGUAGCAGAGCCGUGAGCCGUCGCAACCAAUGAGAGCGCCCCGCAGCGAUCCUGGGGGUGGUGAGAUUCCAAUGA